GCCUCUCCUUUGGUACAUUUAGCUCCUGAUUAAUCUGCACUUCAUGGGCUGAUGAUUGUUGAACUUCUUCGUUUGGUACAUUCUUCUUUACAAUCCAUUCCUUCCUUUUCUGUUUUCCUUGCUUUUUAUCUCUAUCAUUCAAGUUCCUUAUGUCCCCAUGUUCCUCCUUUUGCUUGUUUGAGUUAUCAGUAGAGUACCAACACUCAAUUUCCUCAUGACCAAACUUGAGGCAAUGGUUACAAAAAGUAGGUUUCCAAUCAUACUCAACAGUUUGAACCUUAGGACCAUAAGGAGUUUCAAUUUCCAAUUCAUC
rnacentral:lncRNA from 1 species